CUGAGGUCACUUAUGUUACCAACACUCUAGGGUUCUGUGACUGUGUGUAAGGUGGGUGUGUUGUGUGCAUAAAGGUAGCUAGUUCUGCACACACAUGAGACUCUUUACAGUGGAGCUGGGAGGAUGGAGCUGGGUCAGAGUCGGCAUACCUGCUUGGCUCAUGGGACUGGCCAAAUUGGAUUUUGUAAAAAGCCAAGGUUAGCUUAAAAAGGCACUGUUAGUCACCAUUGGGUUUUGAAUAUUUUAUGCACUGAAAUCACUCCAUAAAAAUUGCUGCUUCAAAUUCAAACAGAUGUGAGAACAUCCCAGUCUCAGUAGAAUUAUAGUUUAUAAAAUUAUUUUCUUGCUUGUAACAGUGAACCUGAAUCCCAUCUUGGGGAGAAGGCAGACGAGCCCCAUGCUAACCCCUUCCCCAGAGUGUGAUGUCGUCUCUCUUGGCAGGUGGCCAGCAGAGCUCUGAAAAUCCCCACCUCUAAGAUUUACAUCAGCGAGACAAGCACUAAUACCGUGCCCAACACCUCUCCCACAGCCGCCUCAGUCAGCACUGACCUCAACGGACAGGCCGUCUACGAAGCGUGUCAGACCAUCCUGAAAAGGCUGGAGCCCUUCAAGAGAAAGAAUCCUAGUGGCUCCUGGGAAGACUGGGGCUGCCCCAGCAACAUCUCCCCCUAUCAAGCUCUGGAGUCUGGGUCCACUGAGAUUCCAUCUGUGAGAAAGCAGGGAAAAGGCAUUGCUCAAGAGGUUAUAUCAUGACUGUGACUUUAGGAGUGACACAACAAGAACCAUACAGAGUAAGGAUGAGCCCAGUUCUCUGAUUUCUCCUUUGGGGGCCUGCAUGUCAGGAACUCUCACAGGGAUGCUGCAAGGAAGUCUCUCUGAGGUGGGAGGCUUCAGUUCCUCCAACAAGCAGAAAUAUCCAUGGCAGCCCUGCUUCACUGUCUCCCUCCUGUUGGAAUGGCAGAACUGGGCACAAUAGUAACGCACAAAAUGUGCCUGCAUACAGCCCAGCUCAGACAGUGCAAGUCUCCCUCAAUAGAUUCAAAGAAAAUAAGCUAUUUUUCUCAGACGCCCUCAUCUUACUAUGCCUCCCAUGACCUCUACUUCCCUUCCCACACUCAUAGAUACCACCCACAUAAAUACCACAUGAAUGUUGAUUGGUUUUUGUAGUUUGAAUUUUAGCAUGGAUUUGUCGGGCAAUGAUAAUGUUUUCAACAUUACAAUCUGUUGAACUUUAUAGAUCAAGACUUUACAAUCUGUUGAACUGAGCGUUGUCCUCAAUAACUGACCAUGUAAUCCAACAUUCCUUAUAAGCAGGAAACCCCAACAGAGGCCAUUACCAAAAAGGUGUGAUCAGGAGAUGACAGGCAUCUAAUCUCUUCACUGUUUGUACUACACUGAAAAACGUGCCAUUAUCACCACCACCACCAUAUAUGUAUAUAUUUGUACCAGAUAUAUACAUGGUAAGGAUCCUAGAGAAAUUCUUUCUCUAAGCCUUAGUUUUCUCAUAUGUAAAAUGAAGAUAAUAAUAGUACUGAUAUUGGAGGUGAUGUCAGCAUCCUGGCAGAGUGAGGUCUCUCAGAAAUCUUUCCCCUCCAAUUUACAACAACAACAAAAAUCCAUAAUAUAACAGAGGACAACCUAACAGAACACAGAAAACGUCAGAGAGACCUAGGCAGCCAUAUGCUGGAGGGCGGAGAGACUGGAGCCCCCCUUGGAGGAGGUGGAACAGGGUAACAGAAAUCUUCACUUCUUCCCCUUAAAGACUGUGAUCAGGAACCGUGGGAGGCCUCCAAGUGAAAAGAAACAGGGGAGGGAACAUUCAUUCGUGGGAACACCAAGGACUCCCAGGGGCCUUGCAGCCUACAGGAAAGCUCUCUACCAGGGCAAAAUCUUCCACGGGGGGUGACCCAUCAGCCAACACCCAGGAGAGCAGAUAGUGAGAGCAGAGGGAGAAAACCCUGAGAGCAUGCAGAAGAAAUCUCCCCUCCUCCCACCUGCUCAGUGCGGCUCCAGCCCCUAGGAUUUCGGCUGAAAGCAGAGGGCUCAGAAUACAUGGCUCUUGACUCCCACCCAGUGGCAAUAGACAGUAACUGUGGCCAAAUAAUGCCAACAUGCUAAAGAAGAGAGCCACUCGCUCUACCAAUAUCAAACAUUAUAUUAGAUCUCCAGACCAGAGAGAAAAUGAGAAGUACCCAGAAAGCAGUCCUGAGGACAUAGAAAUAUGUAAUCUAAAUGACAAAGAAUUCAAAAUAUCUAUCAUCAAAAAACUCAAUGAGGUAAAAGAGAAUGUAGAGAAACAAUUCAAUGAGUUCAGGAGCUA